GACAGAGGGUGCAAACGUUGUUCGGAUUCACUGGGCGUAAAGGGUGCGUAGGUGGUCAGGUAAGUCUGAUGUGAAAGCUCUGGGCUCAACCCAGAAAUGGCAUUGGAUACUAUCUGGCUUGAGGAAUGGAGGGGGACGUGGAAGUACUUGGUGUAGCAGGUGAAAUGCGUAGAUAUCAAGUGGAACACCAGUGGCGAAGGCGAGUCCCUGGACAUUUCCUGACACUGAGGCACGAAAGCUAGGGGAGCAAACAGG
rnacentral:rRNA from 1 species